AUAAAAACAAAUUAUGAAGCACCCAUGCAAGCUGACUGUGUGACGAGCGUCACACACGCCAUCACGGUCGUCACACCAAGUGUCUGUGACGCCCGUAACACCCCUGUCACGAGCGUGACACCUUCAGACUAGGUGAACGUUAGUAACCGUUGGGGACACGACCGUUACACCACCCCAUUUUUUACUUCCCCAUUCACUUACCCAUUUACUCACAUUAAACCACAUUUAUUUAUUUUUCACC
rnacentral:lncRNA from 1 species